GUCCGUUACUGUUAACUGAAUACAUAGGUUAACAGAGCAAACCGGGGGAACUGAAACAUCUAAGUACCCCGAGGAGAAGAAAUCAACCGAGAUUCCGGUAGUAGCGGCGAGCGAACCUGGAUUAGCCCUUAAGCACUCGGUGAAGUAGGUGAACAAGCUGGAAAGCUUGGCGAUACAGGGUGAUAGCCCCGUAACCGACGCUUCAUCGAGCGUGAAAUCGAGUAGGGCGGGACACGUGAUAUCCUGUCUGAAUAUGGGGGGACCAUCCUCCAAGGCUAAAUACUCCUGACUGACCGAUAGUGAACCAGUACCGUGAGGGAAAGGCGAAAAGAACCCCUGUGAGGGGAGUGAAAUAGAACCUGAAACCGUGUACGUACAAGCAGUAGGAGCACCUUCGUGGUGUGACUGCGUACCUUUUGUAUAAUGGGUCAGCGACUUAUAUUCAGUGGCAAGGUUAACCGUAUAGGGGAGCCGUAGCGAAAGCGAGUCUUAACUGGGCGCUCAGUCUCUGGAUAUAGACCCGAAACCGGGUGAUCUAGCCAUGGGCAGGUUGAAGGUUGAGUAACAUCAACUGGAGGACCGAACCGACUAAUGUUGAAAAAUUAGCGGAUGACUUGUGGCUAGGGGUGAAAGGCCAAUCAAACUCGGAGAUAGCUGGUUCUCCCCGAAAGCUAUUUAGGUAGCGCCUCGGACGAAUACUACUGGGGGUAGAGCACUGUUAAGGCUAGGGGGUCAUCCCGACUUACCAACCCUUUGCAAACUCCGAAUACCAGUAAGUACUAUCCGGGAGACACACGGCGGGUGCUAACGUCCGUCGUGGAGAGGGAAACAACCCAGACCGCCAGCUAAGGUCCCAAAGUAUUGCUAAGUGGGAAACGAUGUGGGAAGGCUCAGACAGCUAGGAUGUUGGCUUAGAAGCAGCCAUCAUUUAAAGAAAGCGUAAUAGCUCACUAGUCGAGUCGGCCUGCGCGGAAGAUGUAACGGGGCUAAGCAAUACACCGAAGCUGCGGCAAUGUCUUUUAGACAUUGGGUAGGGGAGCGUUCUGUAAGCCGUUGAAGGUGAAUCGUAAGGUUUGCUGGAGGUAUCAGAAGUGCGAAUGCUGACAUGAGUAACGACAAAGGGGGUGAAAAACCUCCUCGCCGGAAGACCAAGGGUUCCUGUCCAACGUUAAUCGGGGCAGGGUGAGUCGACCCCUAAGGUGAGGCCGAAAGGCGUAAUCGAUGGGAAACGGGUUAAUAUUCCCGUACUUCUGACUAUUGCGAUGGGGGGACGGAGAAGGCUAGGUGGGCCAGGCGACGGUUGUCCUGGUUCAAGUGCGUAGGCUUGAGGGUUAGGUAAAUCCGGCUCUCUCUAAGGCUGAGACACGACGUCGAGCUGCUACGGCAGUGAAGUCAUUGAUGCCAUGCUUCCAGGAAAAGCCUCUAAGCUUCAGAUAGUCAGGAAUCGUACCCCAAACCGACACAGGUGGUCGGGUAGAGAAUACCAAGGCGCUUGAGAGAACUCGGGUGAAGGAACUAGGCAAAAUGGUACCGUAACUUCGGGAGAAGGUACGCUCUUGAUGGUGAAGUCCCUCGCGGAUGGAGCUGACGAGAGUCGCAGAUACCAGGUGGCUGCAACUGUUUAUUAAAAACACAGCACUGUGCAAAAUCGCAAGAUGACGUAUACGGUGUGACGCCUGCCCGGUGCCGGAAGGUUAAUUGAUGGGGUUAGCGCAAGCGAAGCUCUUGAUCGAAGCCCCGGUAAACGGCGGCCGUAACUAUAACGGUCCUAAGGUAGCGAAAUUCCUUGUCGGGUAAGUUCCGACCUGCACGAAUGGCGUAAUGAUGGCCACGCUGUCUCCACCCGAGACUCAGUGAAAUUGAAAUCGCUGUGAAGAUGCAGUGUACCCGCGGCUAGACGGAAAGACCCCGUGAACCUUUACUACAGCUUGGCACUGAACAUUGAACCUACAUGUGUAGGAUAGGUGGGAGGCUAUGAAGACGUGACGCCAGUUGCGUUGGAGCCGUCCUUGAAAUACCACCCUUGUAUGUUUGAUGUUCUAACUUAGACCCAUUAUCUGGGUUGAGGACAGUGCCUGGUGGGUAGUUUGACUGGGGCGGUCUCCUCCCAAAGAGUAACGGAGGAGCACGAAGGUGGGCUAAUCACGGUUGGACAUCGUGAGGUUAGUGCAAUGGCAUAAGCCCGCUUAACUGCGAGAAUGACGGUUCGAGCAGGUGCGAAAGCAGGUCAUAGUGAUCCGGUGGUUCUGUAUGGAAGGGCCAUCGCUCAACGGAUAAAAGGUACUCCGGGGAUAACAGGCUGAUACCGCCCAAGAGUUCAUAUCGACGGCGGUGUUUGGCACCUCGAUGUCGGCUCAUCACAUCCUGGGGCUGAAGUCGGUCCCAAGGGUAUGGCUGUUCGCCAUUUAAAGUGGUACGCGAGCUGGGUUUAGAACGUCGUGAGACAGUUCGGUCCCUAUCUGCCGUGGGCGUUGGAAGAUUGAAGGGGGCUGCUCCUAGUACGAGAGGACCGGAGUGGACGAACCUCUGGUGUUCGGGUUGUGUCGCCAGACGCAUUGCCCGGUAGCUAAGUUCGGAAUUGAUAAGCGCUGAAAGCAUCUAAGCGCGAAGCGAGCCCUGAGAUGAGUCUUCCCUGAUACUUUAAGUAUCCUAAAGGGUUGUUCGAGACUAGAACGUUGAUAGGCAGGGUGUGUAAGCGUUGUGAGGCGUUGAGCUAACCUGUACUAAUUGCCCGUGAGGCUUAACCA
rnacentral:rRNA from 1 species